rnacentral:rRNA from 1 species
UACGUAGGGGGCUAGCGUUGUUCGGAAUCACUGGGCGUAAAGCGCACGUAGGCGGAUUGUUAAGUCGGGGGUGAAAUCCUGAGGCUCAACCUCAGAACUGCCUUCGAUACUGGCAAUCUCGAGUCCGGAAGAGGUUGGUGGAACAGCUAGUGUAGAGGUGAAAUUCGUAGAUAUUAGCUAGAACACCAGUGGCGAAGGCGGCCAACUGGUCUGGUACUGACGCUGAGGUGCGAAAGCGUGGGGAGCAAACAGG